rnacentral:rRNA from 1 species
AUUGAACGCUCGCGGCAGGCUUAACACAUGCAAGUCGAGCGGGGGAGGUUGCUUCGGUAACUGACCUAGCGGCGGACGGGUGAGUAAUGCUUAGGAAUCUGCCUAUUAGUGGGGGACAACAUUCCGAAAGGAAUGCUAAUACCGCAUACGUCCUACGGGGGAAAGCAGGGGAUCUUCGGACCUUGCGCUAAUAGAUGAGCCUAAGUCGGAUUAGCUAGUUGGGGGGGUAAAGGCCUACCAAGGCGACGAUCUGUAGCGGGUCUGAGAGGAUGAUCCGCCACACUGGGACUGAGAAACGGCCCAGACUCCUACGGGAGGCAGCAGUGGGGAAUAUUGGACAAUGGGGGGAACCCUGAUCCAGCCAUGCCGCGUGUGUGAAGAAGGCCUUUUGGUUGUAAAGCACUUUAAGCGAGGAGGAGGCUUACCUGGUUAAUACCUGGGAUAAGUGGACGUUACUCGCAGAAUAAGCACCGGCUAACUCUGUGCCAGCAGCCGCCGUAA